AUCGAACGCUGGUGGCAGGCCUAACACAUGCAAGUCGAGCGGAGCGGCGGACGGGUGAGUAAUGCCUAGGAAUCUGCAUGGUAGUGGGGGAUCACGCCCGGAAACGGGCGCUACGAACGCAUACUAUCAGAGGAGCCUCGUACGGAUUAGCUAGUUGGUGGGGUAAAGGCUUACCAAUGCGACGAUCAGUAACUGGUCUGAGAUGAUGAUCAGUCAAACUUGACCUGCGAAAAGUGCCAGACUCCUACGGGAGUCAUGAGUGGUGAAUAUUGGACAAUGGGCGAAAGCCUGAUCCAGCCAUGCCGCGUGUGUGAAGAAGGUCUUCGGAUUGGAAAGCACUUGAAGUUGUGAGGCGUUUCCAACAGAAUAAGCACCGGCUAACUUCGUGCCAGCAGCCGCGGUAAUUC
rnacentral:rRNA from 1 species